UCGGGACUUUAUUCGCACCUUCUCCCGACUCAUGUCCAAUCACUGUUCGUUAGACGCGCUACUCUUUCGUUUCAAUCUGGCCGGCAGCAAUAUCUGCGUUUGUGGCCGAGGUUACCACGACAUCGAACACGUUGUUUGGUCGUGUGAGGUGUAUCUUGUUGCCAGAUCGAAUUUAGAGAACUCCCUUCGGGCUAGAGGAAGGCAGCCCAAUGUGCCGGUGAGAGAUGUGUUGGCUCGGUUAGACCUUGAUUACAUGUCCCAAAUAUAUGUUUUCCUUAAAUCUAUCGAUGUUCGUGUGUGAUUAUCCUUAUAUCCUUAUACCCUCCAUUUCUUCCUUUGUGAGUAAUUGGUCCGCUUGCUAUAAACAGAAGAAUGAAAUGUAAAUUCACAACUGAUGUACGAAUAGAUUUAAGAAUUGAGUGUGUGUGAUUAUCAACAUUGUAAUAAUUUCCUUAUACCCCAUCCUUUUCCUGAGAAAAUGUCAUCCUUUUAAUCUCGAGUCCACCACGAGUAAUCGGUUUCCCACAUUACUAACCAUAGAUUUAAGAAAAUUGUUCAUAUAUAUAGUUUUAAAAAUAUAUUUAAGAUUUCGGCUCCUUUAAACUUAUGUAACUGAGCCUGUAAAAAUAAACGAAUUUAUAAAAAAAAAAAAUAAAUCGCACAUCCGACGGAGCAUGUUUUAUACGAUUUGUGAGGACACAACACACAAAUUGAGGUAAUGUAAUUGUUUUUGCCUGAUUGGAAACAAACAGAUAUGAAACUGUAUAUUUCAGACACACAUCCGUAAGGACAUGUGCACACAAUGUUUCAUGUGAUGGAUUCUUCGUUUUCCUGGGAUGAUUGGCACAAAAUUUACUAGGAAAAUCCGCCUCGAGAUAUAUGGUUCUUCACGAUAAGGAUUCGCCCAGAUACACUUUUCUUCAGGAACAAGUUUCACAUGUUGUUCUGGGAGCGUUGUAAUGAAUAGUUUGAUUCGAAUGGAACUUUCAACGGACAACUCAAAAACAAAGAUACAAAUACGAACAGAUACAAAUGAUUCCUCUCCCUGAAUGACGAAAAGAAACAGGAUCAUGAUCGAGUACAGAUGGCAAUGGAAGAAUCUUAUGGGAUCGACUUAGUUGACGCUGCGAUUAGACCUGUUCCCUAGUACUCUGCUCGUAGAAUUAUUGUAAUGACAAUUAUUGUUUGUUUGUUAU